rnacentral:lncRNA from 1 species
GGGCUAUAAAAGACCGGUCGUAUCCUUAGAUCUUAGGGAGAUGCCUAGGACCUAAGUACGCGUGCGCACUCGUGAGCUUGGAGAAUGCGUUGGGGGGAAGUCUGGCGAAGCUUUGUGGGAAGGAAGAGGUUGAGAGUCCGAGGAAGAGGUUUAUGUGGCGCAUCGUAUAUUUCUGAGACAUCUACGUUAUGGGGAAUCAAAGUAUAAUUUUGUGGUUGAGAAAAGAUGGGCAUUUGGGAAGUUUGGGUAUCCCCUGGCUGUCACUUGGUAGGAAACAGACUCAGCAAGGGCAGAUUUGAGGCUCACACGCGUCCAAAUCAGAUACUGUCCUUCAACCAUAUUUAAUAGAAA